UCAGAACAGAUAAAUUUUCUUAAUAUAAAUAAAAUUAUAAUACAAAAUCUAACUUGCAAUAAUCGGAACCCUCGAUCCUUCCAAAAGUAUAACCUCUCUCUCUCUCUCUCUCUCUCUCUCUCUCUCUCUCUCUCUCUCUCACAUUUGAAGGUCUAACAAGACUUAUCUAAAAGUAGGUUUCCUUAAAUCAGAUGAACUAAUUGGAUGACUAAUUGAAUAGUAAAUUCGAAAUGAGAAGGAAGACUUUGAUUUUGUGUGGAUUAUAUUUCUUCUCCACAUAUUCCACGUAUUGUAACCAAAUUCUAUCAUAGCCAAGAAAAAGAGAGAGAAUAAGAGGUAGGUCACUAGUCUCUAUAAUUUGAUUUAUAUAUUAUUUUCAUAUAUGAGGUUAUUGAACAGUCUUGCGAAAAAAAUUAAAUUAUUAAGCAAUUGAAAGAGUCUCAUCACAUAUUUUCAUCAAAUAUAGCCUAUCUUUGGGUCAUAUUUAUAAAUGCUCAAAUUUCUUUUUAUACACAUAUUUACAAGGAUCUUAUGAGUACUAUCCACUUUUCGUUUCUAUAUAUUUAUAAUUUAAAAAAUUUAUAAACACUUUUGAACGUGCUCUCAAUAGCUUAAAAAUUUUAGUUUUGCUAGACUUAUAUCAUGGUUGACAGUUUUAUUUACACUUCAUGAUAUGACACACAAUUUUACCAUUAAUUUUAACAAUACUUAAAAAAUCAAUAAUCUCAAUUUUACACAUCAUGGAGUGUCAUCCAUGUUGUACAAAAGUAAUAUACAAUCGGCUUAAUUCUAAAAAUAUACUGUAGCAUUAACCUCAAAAAAGGUGAAGGGUGAAAGAUAAAAUGGUCGAGCCAAAUCGAAUCAGUGAUAACAAAGUCCAAAUAAAUAGAUAAUUUAUUUUUUUUUUUUGUUGGGGGGUGGGGCGUGGGGGGGUGGUGUUGUAAUUGCAAACUGCCUGAUUUUGAGACUAGACAGCCCAAUUCUUAGAUAAUUUUAAGGGAAAAUUGCAGCAGUGGUCCCUCAUCUUUCACUUUUUACAAACUCAAACUUAUCUUCUUCAUCCCACCCCAAUCCCAAAAUCGAACCGACAAUCAGAAAACUCACCACCGUCGCCACCACUAUCAAACCAAAACCGACCGUCAUCACCACCACCAAACCACAAUCACAACCACCGCCAUACCUAUACCCAUAUUUGAGCCCACUUUGAAUCACUUACAAAUCACCACCCAAAUCAUCGGAUAUUCAUAGUAUCGGAAAGCCUUCAAUUCCUUCUUCACAACACACACCAAAAUUGGACGAAAUCCUCACUUCCGAGGACACGCAUGCCAAACCCACCUUCCAAGUUGUCAAGCACCUUAAUAUGCACCUAUUGAUACUCUUGUAACAUCAAAGAAAGCUAUAAAUCCAAAUCUACAAUCAAUUCUUCAAAUAGCGAGCUCGAACCUUUCAAAUGUCAAUUUUGGCACCGACGGUGCAAUCCACGAUCGCAGACCACCUAUCCCAGGUCUACCUCAUCAAGGCGCAUCUACGGGCACCAUGGGUUUUGGUUUUGGUUGGUGGUGGUACUCAUGGUUUGAUGGUGGUGACGGCGAUUGAUUUUGGAUUGAUGGUUGUGGUGGUGGCAGUGGUUGAGGUUGGUGGUGGUGG
rnacentral:lncRNA from 1 species